CCUUCCUUUUGAGUUGUUCCGCACCAAGGAAAGUAUAGAUACGAUAGUUUUAGACCAGUGAUUAAGCCAUUACACAUCUGGCUAUAAGGUUGAUUAUAAAUCUGAUAAGAUUCUAUAUUAGAUAGUGCGCCUUCGGUCACUCUUGGCAUUACAGUGCCGCCAGUCAUUCUUCGCUAUGAAUUCCUGUUAUAAUAAUAAUUCAUAUUGAAGUUUUUUAGGUUGAUGUAAUCCAAUAAAUCGAUUGUUGUACUAUCUGAAAAUACGCCAUUCAUCUCAAGCGAUUCUAGAGUAGUCGGUCAUCAGGCAUACGAAAAACACUGCGUCUUACAAUAAAAAACUGACUGCCUCGCAAUUGAAACAUGUAUUCGUCUGUAUCGUUUGAGCAUCCCCAUUCGAUGAAGUUAAGAAUCGCAAAAUUUUCUACGUUUGAGGCACCACCUGGAGUACAGUCGUUUUCACAGAAGCUUUUUAUCGAUCCAUAUCUGGAUUGCACUUUAAAGAACUUUGAAUUAGAAACCGAAACGAAGAAGAUUAUGAAAGCAAUGCCCGAUAAUUAUCGAAAACGAUGUGCGGCUGAAAAGUUGAUUUUGAAUGAAUGUGAAACUGACAGUACCUUAAACCGUCCUGGCAAUUCCGCGGGUAGUGAGUCUGCGAUGUUAAGGUAAGUGUCUCAAAUU